CUGGAGUGCUGAUGUCAGGACAGUGCUGUUUCCGUGGUAAUGAGCUGUCAGCGAUAUGAAGCUGGGCACUCGAUUUCUCACAUCACCCAUCCCCUUUCCAAAUCAGGGCCAGAGACCAGAGAGCCAGAGAAGUGCUUCCCUCCUCACGUUUUCUGGGAAGAGCGCCCCAGGGACGACAGUGUCAGAGACGCAGAAUAAAAGCCAGAGCAAAAGCGGCGCUAAUAAGACAAACAAACAAGAUAAAGCUCAGGGCUGUUCCAGGCCACAGUUGUAAGCCACACUGAUGCCUCAUCACAAGGAGAUGUGUCAUAAAGAAGGUUUACGCAGAGCUUGUCGCAGCUGCACUGGCAGUUAAACACGCACUAUGCCUCUGAGAACACCACUGUACACCAGACUAUUUUCCAUUUACUGAGAUGUUGUCCCCCAGCCGAUAGUGUUGGAGACAGCGUGCGCAGAGAUCACUACAGGCUGUCAGAGCUGCUGAUCUCCGGAGUGGCUGAUCUCUGGGACACGCGCUCAAAAAGAGGAAUUCAGGCUGCUGGAGCUGGUUUAGCUGAACAUUACUUUACAAUUUGAAAAUGACAACACAAUCAUUUUCGCCUAUUCACUGAGGAUUAACUCAAUGCACAAUGGAGGAAACGUAAUUAGCUCAUUAUUCACAUAGUAAGCCAAAACAUGUCACAAUGGCGCAUUAGCAGUUGCUAUUGUCAAGACAGCUGAGCGCACAGGCUCUCAUCGCUCUCUCUUUGGAAUAGAAAAAAUGAAUACAGUAGAGGAAAUUUGGCAGUUUUGCUUAUUUACAUUCUGCAAUAUAGACUUGUCAUCUAUGCUGAGUGUACGUUUGCUGGUGUUAUUCACAGCUCUCAUUCCAGCACAUAUAAAGCAUGCUUCCCAUACUGAUCUGAAGUUGCAGAUGUGUGGCUCUGUCCAUGGUGCUAAAACAUACAUGUAACCAAAUAAUCAAUUAGUAAUCGGAUUAGUGGCUCUAUUAGACUGAAAAGUCUUCAUAAAAACAUCUCAAUCAAUUCAAUUGAGGUUUCGAUCUGACUGAAAGGCAUACACUGUAAAAAAAAAUAAAAUAAUAAUAAUAUUAAAAUAAAAUAAAAAC
ensembl:lncRNA